rnacentral:rRNA from 1 species
UACGAAGGGGGCUAGCGUUGCUCGGAAUUACUGGGCGUAAAGCGCACGUAGGCGGAUUGUUAAGUCGGGGGUGAAAUCCUGGAGCUCAACUCCAGAACUGCCUUCGAUACUGGCGAUCUAGAGUCCGGGAGAGGUGAGUGGAACUGCGAGUGUAGAGGUGAAAUUCGUAGAUAUUCGGAAGAACACCAGUGGCGAAGGCGACUCGCUGGACAAGUAUUGACGCUGAGGUGCGAAAGCGUGGGGAGGCAAACAGGAUUAAGAUACCCCGGGUACGUC